AUUGAACGCUGGCGGCAGGCUUAACACAUGCAAGUCGAGCGGAGCGAGGGUGCUUGCACCUUAGCUUAGCGGCGGACGGGUGAGUAAUGCUUAGGAAUCUGCCUAUUAGUGGGGGACAACAUUCCGAAAGGAAUGCUAAUACCGCCUACGCCCUACGAGGGAAAGCAGGGGAUCUUCGGACCUUGCGCUAAUAGAAUAGCCUAAGUCGGAUGGGCUAUGGAGUUGGUGGGGUAAAGGCCCAACAAGGCGACGAUCUGUAGCGGGUCUGAGAGGAUGAUCCGCCACACUGGGACUGAGACACGGCCCAGACUCCUAAGGGAGGCAGAAGUGGGGAAUAUUGGACAAUGGGCGGAAGCCUGAUCCAGCCAUGCCGCGUGUGUGAAGAAGGCCUUUUGGUUGUAAAGCACUUUAAGCGAGGAGGAGGCUACUUAGAUUAAUACUCUGGGAUAGUGGACGUUACUCGCAGAAUAAGCACCGGCUAACUCUGUGCCAGCAGCCGCCGUAA
rnacentral:rRNA from 1 species